GACCGAAACUUUCCGCGUUGCCAGCCCGCACCCCAGCUGGGAGUAGGGAACCGUUGGGGAGGGUCAUCCGGGGACCUAAAGUGCGUGUGCACUGUGCACGGCGGGCGGAGGCAGGGAGGCGGCUGGCCACCCCCGGAGCCACAGGCACCUGGGCGGGGUCCGGCCACGCCGCAAUCGAACGCGCCCAGGCUCCAGAAGAGGCCAUAUAGGAUUCCUGGAAAAGACCCGCCACAUUCCCGCCCCCAGUCCCGCGAACCCACAAAGUGCUGAGUAACGAUUACCAGGAAGUCUCUCUCUGCGUGCACCCGCUUCUUUCCGGAAUUUACCGUGACGGUUCUCUUCUCUACCCUCCUUCUUUCACGGGUGAACUUGCUGCUCCAGCGUGACACAGCACUUUAAGGGACUGGCUGGGCUCCUCCGAGCAGACUGCUGGUGUGGGUUCUCAGUGUGGCCAGAGUGACGCAGUUGUGACCCUGAGCAGACCGUGAACUCCCGUUCCCUCAGUUUUCCUUUCUGUAAAAUGAGCAUCAAGAUGGUCCCUAACUCCUGGUGGUGGUAUUUUGAGGAUUAAAUAAAGUGCCUGUACAUUGAUGGGGCCAGUGCUCGGCACAUGAUUCUUUCUUCUCCUUCAAGAAUCCUGUGCAUAUCAUUACUGAAAAAAAAAAAAAAAGAAGAAGAA